AUUGAACGCUGGCGGCGUGCCUAACACUUGCAAGUCGAGCGAGUGAAUCUCCUUCGGGAGUGAAACUAGCGGCGGACGGGUGAGUAACACGUGGGCAACCUGCCUCAUAGAGGGGAAUAGCCUUUCGAAAGGAAGAUUAAUACCGCAUAAGAUUGUAGCUUCGCAUGAAGUAGCAAUUAAAGGAGUAAUCCGCUAUGAGAUGGGCCCGCGGCGCAUUAGCUAGUUGGUGAGGUAACGGCUCACCAAGGCGACGAUGCGUAGCCGACCUGAGAGGGGGAUCGGCCACAUUGGGACUGAGACACGACCCAGACUCCUACGGGAGGCAGCAGUGGGGAAUAUUGCACAAUGGGGGAAACCCUGAUGCAGCAACGCCGCGUGAGUGAUGACGGCCUUCGGGUUGUAAAGCUCUGUCUUCAGGGACGAUAAUGACGGUACCUGAGGAGGAAGCCACGGCUAACUACGUGCCAGCAGCCGCCGUAACAC
rnacentral:rRNA from 1 species